CUUGUCCCACUUUUCCCAUCUGGAUGGGGGUUCCACUGCCUGCGCCUGCGGACGAGUACUCCAGGGGGUGGGAGAGGAGAUAGGGAUGUCCGACGAAGAAACGAAUGGCUUGUCAAGUUUUGUAGGAAGAGAAAGAAGAGAGAAGUUCGCGAAUCCAGCUACGAUCGGUCGCGCCUCCUAUGACGUCUAGUGGCAGAGGCCAAAGGGAUUUCUGGGGCAGUCUCGAGGGAAAGGAUCCGGCGCGCGGGGCCCAUAGACGUUACUCUAAAUAUGCCACUAGCGGUGUCUGAAAUUCUCUUGGUUCUUUCUUUUUUUAACGAUAUUUAAAAAAAAAAAAAUAUUUUGUCUCCUAAGCGGCCUUUUAUACAAUGUAAGCCCAGUAAGGCCAUAGACGUUAAUUAAUUCCCAGUAACCCCGACGCCUUGGACAUGUAGGUAUCCAAGUAUUUGUUCCUGAAAUAAUACUCUGAAUUAACCUGCUCAUAUGUGGAAAAUAAUAACCAGCUGGGAAACGCCAGCAGUAUCAGCUAAACGUUUGUUAGAGAUUUACUGUGUGCCAGGUUCUUGCUGUGCUCUUUCUCCCUGUGGUUUUCUGAACCAAUAACCUGAAGCCUCAAGUUCUUCAUCUGCAAAAAUGUUUUGUAUCAGGCGCCUCUGACGCUUAUAUCUCAGGAUAGAAGAAGUAUCCUCAGAGACAACAACAACAAAUCAAGAUUAAGAGGGGAAGAACUAGAAGGAGAUUCGUACACUGUCCCUCCCCUGUCCAAGGGAAGGAGAGGCUGUUUGGUAAUGCCUGCCCACUCCUUCCUGGGCAGCACCUUUGUAGAAUGGAGCCUGGGAGAAUUUGCAGUCUGCUAAAGGCAUUUUAGUCAGUUUCUGACUUAGGUUGGUAGGGAGGCCCUUGAAUUUGCAUUUCUAACAAGUUCUAUAGUGAUGCUUCAAAUAUGUCUAAACAGAAGGGUUACCUCACAGAGAUUUCUGCCACACUGCAUGCAAAUGAACCCACGGAUAUCCCCAACCCUCAAGCCUGAAACCAAAACACUGAAAACGAAACACCAGAGUGGACAAGGAACAUCUCAGAAUUUCUGUGGGAACCAGUGACCCAUGGACCUGACAUCUUCUCAUCUUGGCACUUCAGAAAUCAUCCCAGCCUGGAUACAGCCCUGGGGAAAGGAAGAGAUCUUCCCUCCCAUUGAUAAGAUUAUUGUCACUGCAGCUAAAUGGCGCCUUUAAGUAGAAAUCAGUUUCAGUUACAGAAAAAAAUGUUAUUUAUUACAUAUUUGAGUUUGUAGACUGAAUCUCAUUCUUACCACAGUAUUAUCUGUGAGCAUUAUAUAGUAGCCAUAAGGCACUAAACAUUUUAAGCUUAGUAUUGUGAGGAUUCUCACUUCACUUAAAGAUUGUGAGGUUUUAUUCAUUAGCAUUUUUAUUUGGUGGCUAUAGUUGACAAGGACAAAGCUAAGAGGAACCAACAAACACUGCCCUGCCUGAUAUGGUAAUAUUACUAGGUGGUAGGUUCCUCUAGAGCAGGGUUAAUACAUUUCCUUGACUCUUUCCCCUAGCCACUAGCAUACAAAGUGCUUGUGCUUAGUAGGUGCUCAAAAAAUGUUUGUGGAAUGAAUACAUUAUGAAUAAAAUAUAUACUGAGGAUUCUG